UGGGGAAUAUUGGACAAUGGGGGCAACCCUGAUCCAGCAAUGCCGCGUGUGUGAAGAAGGUCUUCGGAUUGUAAAGCACUUUCGACGGGGACGAUGAUGACGGUACCCGUAGAAGAAGCCCCGGCUAACUUCGUGCCAGCAGCCGCGGUAAUACGAAGGGGGCUAGCGUUGCUCGGAAUGACUGGGCGUAAAGGGCGUGUAGGCGGUUUACACAGUCAGAUGUGAAAUCCCCGGGCUUAACCUGGGAGCUGCAUUUGAUACGUGUAGACUAGAGUGUGAGAGAGGGUUGUGGAAUCCCCAGUGUAGAGGUGAAAUUCGUAGAU
rnacentral:rRNA from 1 species